UUUCCGUAGGUGAACCUGCGGAAGGAUCAUUAUUGUAUAGCCGAGGUGCGAGGGCUGUCGCUGACCCGAAAGGUCGUGCACGCCCGAGUGCCCUCACACACAUCCAUCUCACCCCUAUGUGCACCACCGCGUGGGUCCCCCUUUGGCUUGUUCGGAGGGGGGCUUACGUUUUCACACAAACUUUGUAUGCAGUGUAGAAUGUAUUUUUGUUUUUGCGAUCACGCAAUCAAUACAACUUUCAACAACGGAUCUCUUGGCUCUC
rnacentral:misc_RNA from 1 species